rnacentral:rRNA from 1 species
UACGGGGGGGGCAAGCGUUGUUCGGAAUUACUGGGCGUAAAGGGCUCGUAGGUGGCCAACUAAGUCAGACGUGAAAUCCCUCGGCUUAACCGGGGAACUGCGUCUGAUACUGGAUGGCUUGGAUUUGGGAGAGGGAUGCGGAAUUCCAGGUGUAGCGGUGAAAUGCGUAGAUAUCGGGAGGAACAUCAGUGGCGAAGGCGGCUGCCUGGCCCAAUACCGACACUCAGGUGCGACAGCGUGGGGAGCAAACAGG